rnacentral:rRNA from 1 species
AGUCCAGACUCCUACGGGAGGCAGCAGUGGGGAAUAUUGCACAAUGGGGGAAACCCUGAUGCAGCGACGCCGCGUGAAGGAAGAAGUAUUUCGGUAUGUAAACUUCUAUCAGCAGGGAAGAAGCAAGACGGUACCUGACUAAGAAGCCCCGGCUAACUACGUGCCAGCAGCCGCGGUAAUACGUAGGGGGCGAGCGUUAUCCGGAUUCACUGGGUGUAAAGGGAGCGUAGACGGCCAAGCAAGCCAGGGGUGAAAGCCCGGGGCCCAACCCCGGGACUGCCCUUGGAACUGCUUGGCUGGAGUGCGGGAGGGGCAGGCGGAAUUCCUGGUGUAGCGGUGAAACGCGUAGAUAUCAGGAGGAACACCGGCGGCGAAGGCGGCCUGCUGGACCGCUACUGACGUUGAGGCUCGAAAGCGUGGGGAGCGAACAGGAUUAGAUACCCCAGUA